rnacentral:rRNA from 1 species
CCAUUACACAGGUGCUGCAUGGCUGUCGUCAGCUCGUGUCGUGAGAUGUUGGGUUAAGUCCCGCAACGAGCGCAACCCUUGUCAUUAGUUGCUACGCAAGAGCACUCUAAUGAGACUGCCGGUGACAAACCGGAGGAAGGUGGGGAUGACGUCAAGUCCUCAUGGCCCUUAUGGGUAGGGCUUCACACGUCAUACAAUGGUACAUACAGAGGGCCGCCAACCCGCGAGGGGGAGCUAAUCCCAGAAAGUGUAUCGUAGUCCGGAUUGUAGUCUGCAACUCGACUGCAUGAAGUUGGAAUCGCUAGUAAUCGCGGAUCAGCAUGUCGCGGUGAAUACGUUCCCGGGUCUUGUACACACCGCCCGUCACACCAUGGGAGCGGGUUUUACCAGAAGUAGGUAGCUUAACCGCAAGGAGGGCGCUUACCACGGUAGGAUUCGUGACUGGGGUGAAGUCGUAACAAGGUAGCCGUAUCGGAAGGUGCGGCUGGAUCACCUCCUUUCUAG